UGGAGGCAGCAGUGAGGAAUUUUGGACAAUGGGGGCAACCCUGAUCCAGCCAUGCCGCGUGAGUGAAGAAGGCCUUCGGGUUGUAAAGCUCUUUCGGACGGAAAGAAAUCGCACGGGCUAAUACCCUGUGUGGAUGACGGUACCGUAAGAAGAAGCACCGGCUAACUACGUGCCAGCAGCCGCGGUAAUACGUAGGGUGCGAGCGUUAAUCGGAAUUACUGGGCGUAAAGCGUGCGCAGGCGGUUUUGUAAGACAGAUGUGAAAUCCCCGGGCUUAACCUGGGAACUGCAUUUGUGACUGCAAGGCUUGAGUGUAGCAGAGGGAGGUAGAAUUCCACGUGUAGCAGUGAAAUGCGUAGAGAUGUGGAGGAAUACCGAUGGCGAAGGCAGCCUCCUGGGUUAACACUGACGCUCAUGCACGAAAGCGUGGGGAGCAAACAGGAUUAGAUACCCGGGUAGUCCG
rnacentral:rRNA from 1 species